rnacentral:lncRNA from 1 species
CGCCGGCGCCUCCCCGCCGCCCCCGCGCUGCCCCCGGCCCGCGCCUCCCCGCUCCCCUGCGCGGGGCCUCCGCGGGGGUGGCCCGGGGAGCCCAGGCGGGACGCGCUCUCUGGGCGCAGGCUCGCUGAUAAACUUUUGGUCCGGUUCAUCACUCAUGUCACAGCCCUAGUGACGUGCGUACUAUUAUUAGCGUCACUUAGAGGUGAGGAAACAGGCUCAAAAAAUACCAAGUUACGUGCUUGAAGUCAAACCGAAGGCAGAGCUGCGAAGCAAAUCCAAGUCUGUCUUGACACAGCUGUGUGUCCUACUUCUCUUGGAUCAGCCUCUUCCCGGCUUUCAUUCCCGUGAGCAGCAAACAGCGCUCCCGGGGACAUCUGGGCACUCUCCCUUCUAACAAUGGAGAGGGGACGCAGUCAUUUUAGAAGCUUCAGAACAGCUCUGAGGCCAGAACGUGACUUCCUCGGAGACCUGAUGACGGUGAUGUGGGCGGGGACCUCCGGGAAGAAGGAGGAAGUCAAGUCCCCGGGUUCGCAGCUGGCCUGUCUGCCACCCCCCAGAGAGGGACCCAGCACCUCAGGCGUGGAGCCAGCCCUCCGGGCCUGGGCCUCUUUGCUGGCUAGGACUGGGCCCCUUUCGGAAGAGCUGCGGCCCAGUAAAAGAUAAAAGUUGUGUUUGUGUGUGGAAGUGGAGUGGGUUGGGGGGGAGCUUCUUGCUGUGGAAUGUCCAAGUAAAUGUAGAUUAGGGUAGGAAGGAAUAUGCUGGCUUUCAGAUUUUCUCCUGGAUGGGACAGAGCCCUUCCAUGGCAAAUGAUUUCAGGGUCAGCACAGAAUUUUGAGAGGAGUUUAUCUUGAAAAGUGAAGCCUGCUAAUGCAAGUUUUCUGUCAUUGCCAAAUCUUGGGAACUGUUUGGGUUUUAAAAUCACUGAGCACUGGAGCAACUGUUUUUCCCUUCCAAGCCACUAUUUUGUGAAAUGAGGCUAAAAUACCUGGGCAGCCCUUUUCCCUUGGGCACCCUGGAAUGCUGGGACUAUGAAUGGCAUGUCAGAAGAGUUGGAGCUCCAAAGGGAAGUCAGACCACGAAAGGACAAGGCUCUCUCCUUUAAAAACGAAGUCCUCCUUUUUUUAAUCACAGAAGUAAUUACUACUCAUUGUACACAAGUUAGAUUUUUUUUUUUUGUAGAAUCAGAAGAUUAAAAAAAAUUGAAAUCCCACACUGAGGAAACCAUCGACAAUUUGAUGUAUAGCAUUAAAUGUAAGCAGACUGAACACACUGCUUUUUUCCUUGAACAGCCUUUUUUCCUUGAAUAAAAUAUCAUGACAUGCCCCUAAAUAUUUUCCA